rfam:Gossypium raimondii Chr01_contig_1205, whole genome shotgun sequence.
UAUUAAAAUUUUUAUUUAUUUGUAUCAUUAAAAAUUGACGUGCUUGAUAGAAUAAUUAAAUAGUGAUAAAUGAUAUGCCAUGUGUACUUUAUGUUGACAUACGAGGGCCAAUUUUUACUAGUGAAAAUAGAUGAAAUUUUUAACA